CCCUUAGAUGUUCUGGGCCGCACGCGCGCUACACUGAUGCAUUCAACGAGUUUCUUCCUGGUCCGAGAGGAAUGGGUAACCUUUUGAAAGUGCAUCGUGAUAGGGAUAGACUAUUGCAAUUAUUGGUCUUCAACGAGGAAUUCCUAGUAGACGUAGUUCAUCAGACUGCAUCGAUUACGUCCCUGCCCUUUGUACACACCGCCCGUCGCUCCUACCGAUUGAAUGCUCAGGUGAGCCAUUCGGACCUUCAUCAUGCCGGUUUCCGGUUUUGAUGCGGGAAAGUCUUGCGAACCUUAUCAUUUAGAGGAAGGAGAAGUCGUAACA
rnacentral:rRNA from 1 species